rnacentral:rRNA from 1 species
GUGGGGAAUAUUGGGCAAUGGGCGAAAGCCUGACCCAGCAACGCCGCGUGAGGGAAGAAGGCCUUCGGGUUGUAAACCUCUGUCCUUGGUGACGAAAAAAAUGACGGUAGCCAAGGAGGAAGCCCCGGCUAACUACGUGCCAGCAGCCGCGGUAAUACGUAGGGGGCGAGCGUUGUCCGGAAUUACUGGGCGUAAAGGGUGCGUAGGUGGCCUUUUAAGUUGGAUGUGAAAUACCCGGGCUUAACUUGGGGGGUGGAGCUAAUACUGGAGGGCUAGAGUGCAGGAGAGGGAAGCGGAAUUCCUAGGGUAGCGGUGAAAUGCGUAGAUAUUAGGAGGAACACCAGUGGCGAAGGCGGCUUUCUGGACUGUAACUGACACUGAGGCACGAAAGCGUGGGGAGCAAACAGGAUUAGAUACCCUGGUAGUCC